rnacentral:antisense_RNA from 1 species
UGUAACCAAAUAUGAUACUUGGGCUAAGCGUCAAGUUGGUGAUUUUUCUUACAUCUCCUCCUCUUGGAGCCCAAGUAUCAUACGCCCCCAAAAUAAAGAGCCUUGAAUACUAGAAGAAAAGCACCUAGACCUAACCGAAGAAUGGAAAAGAUUCUUCAA